rnacentral:rRNA from 1 species
UACGUAGGGUGCAAGCGUUGUCCGGAAUUAUUGGGCGUAAAGAGCGUGUAGGCGGCCCGAUUAGUCCGCUGUGAAAGUCCAGGGCUCAACCCUGGAAUGCCGGUGGAUACUGUCGGGCUAGAGUCCGGAAGGGGCGAGUGGAAUUCCUGGUGUAGCGGUGAAAUGCGCAGAUAUCAGGAAGAAGACCCGUGGCGAAGGCGGCUCUCUGGAACGCAACUGACGCUGAGACGCGAAAGCGUGGGGAGCAAACAGG